rnacentral:rRNA from 1 species
UACAGAGGGUGCGGGCGUUAAUCGGAAUUACUGGGCGUAAAGCGCACGUAGGUGGCGACGUAAGUCGGGUGUGAAAGCCCCGGGCUCAACCUGGGAAUUGCAUUCGAGACUGUGUCGCUGGAGUACGGAAGAGGAAGGCGGAAUUCCCGGUGUAGCGGUGAAAUGCGUAGAUAUCGGGAGGAACAUCAGUGGCGAAGGCGGCCUUCUGGUCCAGUACUGACACUCAAGUGCGAAAGCGUGGGGAGCAAACAGG